rnacentral:rRNA from 1 species
UCCUGACACAGGGAGGUAGUGACAAGAAAUAACAAUACAGGGCUCUCUGAGUCUUGUAAUUGGAAUGAGUACAAUUUACAUCUCUUCACGAGGAUCAAUUGGAGGGCAAGUCUGGUGCCAGCAGCCGCGGUAAUUCCAGCUCCAAUAGCGUAUAUUAAAGUUGUUGCAGUUAAAACGCUCGUAGUCGGAUUUCGGGGCGGGGCCGCCGGUCUGCCGAUAGGUAUGCACUGGCGGGCGCGUCCUUUUUCCCGGAGACGGCUGCUACUCUUAACUGAGCGGUGGUCGGAGACGGGAUGUUUACUUUGAAAAAAUCAGAGUGUUUCAAGCAGGCAGUCGCUCUUGCAUGGAUUAGCAUGGGAUAAUGAAAUAGGACUCUGGUGCUAUUUUGUUGGUUUCGAGCACCGGAGUAAUGAUUAACAGGGACA